GGCUCGGUGGUGGAUGGUCCACAUCUGUCUCCCGUAGAGGAACAUGACUGUAAGCAGAGAAGCCUGUUCAAAUCAGGCCCGAGCCA